rnacentral:lncRNA from 1 species
UAUAUAUCCAGAGACCACAUAAAUGAUAUCCUAAACACAAUUCAUAUUAUUGGUUUAACUUUAAAAUAUAUCAACCAUUUUUUAAUGCAUUUCUUUUGCUUCUCAAAAAAAAAAAUCAACCAUUAAUUUUUUAAUAAGGGUAUGUUUCGAAACCAUAAUCGAUUCUACUUGCUUAAAAUCAAUUCUAACUAGUUGAGAUGAUGUUUGGAUGUACCGGUAAAUCAGAAUGAAUUCAAUAAAAUUUGAUUCUUUAAUGUUUUUGAAAUAAUAAUUGAUUUAUGAAGAGAGGAUAUUAUUUAUGAUGGAUAGUAAAUACAUUUAUUUAUCUUGUCUUGACUCAUCAGCAAAAUAAACACUGUCACUUUGGAUGGAUCUCCCCCAGCCCCCAGGCCAUGUAUCAGGUCAGUUUUCAUCACUCAGAUCCGCUUUAAGUGAUCCGUCAUCUAAUUGAAAGUAAUGGCAACAUCCUCCUAACUAAUUUAGAUGGGCAGUUUUUAUCACAUUUUUAUUUUAAAAUUCUAAAUUAAUCACAAUUUGUACAUAUUUUUACUAAAAUCAAGGGAUUUUUUUAUUUAAUUUCAAAUCAACUAAUUUUUCAUUUUGAUUUUAAUUUUCCCCCUAUAUCUCUUGUAAAUAUGGCUGAGAUCUAAUUAAUAUUCUAAAUUACUUAAUACAACUUAAAAUGAGAAUUGUUCGACAAAAAUUACAAGGUUGUCUAAAUGACGCAAGUAAAGUUUGGGUUAAAUAACUCAUCAUCCAAUCACAUUCAAGAUAAGUGAGUAUCUUCAAUGUGAUUGAUAUCUUCAAUGUGAUUGGAUGAUGAGUUAUUUAACCCAAACUUCUUCAUGAGUCUUUUAGACAACCCUCCGAACCAUAUGUGAGUUUCCUUGUGGCCAAUUUUGUUUUUGUUUAAAUGCUAAUUAAUGGUAAUCAAUGAGUCUUUUGAAUAUAGCAAGGCUCAUUAUUAUCUAAUUAAUGUGUGAGUAUUUAGGGUUUUAACUACAAAAAUUCCUUCCAUUAAAAGGUGAAUAGUGAGAAGCAGGGCACGGAAUCAUCCAAUAAUUUUGAAAUGAAAAGCUAAUAUUGUAUUUUUAGUCCAUGAUCGAUCAUGUAGGAGUAUAUAAUAUGCAUAGGGAGUAAUAGAAAGAAAUUAAACUUACUGGGACAGUUGGAGAUGCUGGCGUUUUUUACUUGACAAGCGGAAGGGAGCUGAAGUAGCCGAUCCUCUCGAAUACCCAUGCUCUUGCUCUCAGCGCUACCUUUGUGGGUCUGUUGAAUGAUGUAGCAGAGGCACUCAGGGUCGGUGUCCUUUAUCACCGUCGCUGAAUCACAGCAUUGCUUGCUUGGCG